UAAUUUGACCUCUAUUAAGUGAUACCAUGUACACAAUACAGCUAUGCCAUUUUCUAUUUUAGCGUAAUUGCCUUUGUAACUAACUGGUUUACCUUUAUUAUAUUUUGCCAAUUGAAGUACUCUUCCGAUUUUUGAAUUGUCACUCCCCCGAAAUGCACAUAUAUCACCUACUAAAAUGUAUUCUGACACUGUUGGUUGAGUACUAUUGUGACCUAUGCAUGUAGGCAUUGGGUGGAGUGGGUCCUGUGAUUCAUAAGGUUGUUUUGCCCGUACCCUGAAAAUUCUGUCUGUAGACACCCGUUCUGAGUCCUGAAAUAACCAGAUAGCUGUGCUCUUGUGGAUGUGAACCCUUUUGCCUUGUAAACUGUAAGCCCUUUUGAUGACUGAUCUUUUUCAUAAAUGAGAGAUGCUUUUUGUGAUACAGCUUUGUCCUUAAUGAUAUAGAAUCAGCCGAUGACACAAAUGGAUCUUCUUCCAUUACCACAUAAUUCUCUCCCUCUUUCUCGUCAUUCCUGUCAUCUUCAUUGUCGUCAUUAUCAUCAUCUUCUUCAUCUAAUUUGAUGUCUUGUGAAUUGAAAUGUAUUGGAGCACUUGCUUCUGCUCUUGACAGUGCCUUCUGUAUGUUUUCAUCAGAGAGUUCAAAUGAGAAAUCCUUGUGCGAUCCGAUUCCAUCUUUGCGUUUGUGUUUUUCUUGUCUGGGAAAUGACAUUUUAUGGGAAUCCUAGCAUGCUGAAGUUAAUAAUUGUUGAGAAUACUCCAGUCAUGCUUCGUAGGGACCGAAAAGUUUUCUCACAGCUUUGUGAACCGAAGAGCCAUGGAGAAAAAUACUUGUCAUUUAAAGGAUCAGCACUAGCAGCUUCCAGUUUCCUUUUCUUCGUGGCCCUUCGAGACCAGUCUACACGAUUGAUAGAUGUUGCCCCUCCUUUAGUGCCAAAGGAGGGGCUUACUGAAAAACCUGAGUCGAAGGAGCUAAUUCUUUUGAGGUGAUGAAGGUGGUGAUGAAGCUGGUUGUGUUUUUUCUGGUGAAUUUGGAAUGAGAUUGGGUGGCAAAGGAGAAACAGAAGCUAGUUGUUGUGAUAGUGACAUAGAUGAUGAACAAAUACUAUCUGAAUUUCCAGUUGAUUGUAAUGCUGGUUGAAGGUUACCUUGUUUUAUUGCAAAUUUUUUGUGUAAUGCUUCGGGUGAUGAAGAUGGUGAGGAAAGUAGUAAUGAAUUCGGGUGCAAGUGUGAAGGAGAAACAGAUUCACAAUCUUGUGAUAAUAUGGCAGUAGAACAAGAUACAGGAGGUAAUACUUUGCAGCCGUUAGCUUUUCCAGCCGUUUGUAAGAACUGUUGCAGUGUACUUUGUUCACUUGGUUUUCUUGAUUUCUUUUUUCCACAUAGUUUCAUGUGUCUGCUCCAGUUGGAUAUUAACCGCUCUCCUUUAGCAUUUGUUGUAAUUGAAUAUGAAUUUCCACAACGACACGAUAUUGAAGCAUUGCAUUUCUCAGGAUUAGAUGUUGACUUUGAUACAACAAUAUUAAAAUCCACUCCCUCUUCUAAAGCUGCUAAUUCUCCUUUGUUGUAGUUCUUUGUCCAAUGUAAUAUUUUCCCUCUGAUAUCUUGUGAAACAACUGAUGGAGGAGGUGAUAUUUCAAGAUUGCUACCAGAGGCUUCAGAUGCUGGCUUAUGUUUCUCAUGAACUGAUCUGAUGAACUUAGAUAUUACUUUUCGAUGACCAGGUGGAAAUUCGAAUGGUGUCUUAGCAUCUGAGGCAUCAUCAUAGUUUGGUCUCAUGCAUGAUGAUACGUCACCAUCCAUUUCACAUAUUGCAUCUAAUGUGUCGUAUCCUGCUGCCUCGAAGCAGUUUAUGAUGUAAGUAGGUAUGAGUGACUUUUUCAUCAUGCUUAAUACACUGAUAUCAGAGCUACAUGUCUGUGAUCCAUCUAAUUUAUUUUUUAAAUUAUAAAUAAUUGUCAUAGCUAUGUUAUAUUACCUGCUCUCUUCAACAUUAUCUAUAUAGUCCAUAGUGCAAAUCAAUGAUUAACAAGAUUAGUUGACAGUAUAUAUAACCACUAAGAUGUUGUAAGUGAAAUAAAGACACCUAUGAGGUGUGAAACCAGCUGAUAGUAUUUGAAAAGGAAUCAUUUACCAUACCUGUAAAAGUAAUUUGUCAAGAACAAAUAAAAGACUGAAGUUUUAACAGCUACUGUGUAUACUAUCCACAAAUUAACUGUAUCUUGCGGCUCAAUGACAAGGUAUAGCAAUGGAAGGAAGGCCAAUAAGGUACCUAUAAGGUUUUUGUUAAUUUAAUGAUGAAAGCAGCAUUAAAUUUUCUUACCUGGGUAAGUAAAGUUGGGCUGAAUCUAUGAAUGAAUGAAUGAGAGACUGCUAGCUUGAUCUGCUUUGUACUGCUAGUUAAUACUGUGUAUAUCUAAAUGGUAAACUAAAACACUUUAAUGAAUUAUUUUGCUUGUACUUGUAUGUAAUAAUCAAUCCUUCUUGUCUAGUUUCUGAAAUUCUGUCAAUGUCCUAGGAUCCAGUCUAUCAGUACUCACUGAGUACUAUGUCUCAACAAUCACCACAAAAGGAAUAGGGAUAGAUGUAAUAGUUGUGAAAACAACUGGUAAAUUCUAUUUGCAACAGCUACACAGAUCAAUGAAGAACAGAAGAGAAAGGUAUAAACUCGAAGUCAAUGAAGAACGAUGAAGAAUAAGAUAGCAAUUAUCUCAGGAUGAUAGG